rnacentral:rRNA from 1 species
CCUACGGGUGUCAGCAGUGGGGAAUAUUGGGCAAUGGGCGCAAGCCUGACCCAGCAACGCCGCAUGAAGGAAGAAGGCCCUCUGGUUGUAAACUCCUUUUCUCCGGGACGAAACACGUGACGGUCCCUGACGAAUAAGCCACGCCUACCUACGUGGCAGCAGCCGCCGCAAUACGUAGGGGGCAAGUGUUAUCCAGAUUUACUGGGUGUAAAGGGCGUGUAGGCGGGGACGCUAGCCCGGUGUGAAAACUAUGGGCGCAACCUGGGGCCUGCAUUGGACACUGGGGUUCUUGAGUAGGGGAGAGGCAGACGGAAGGCCUGGUGUAGCGGUGAAAUGCGUAGAUAUCAGGAGGAACACCAGUGGCGAAGGCAGUAUGCUGGACAGCAACUGACGCUGAGGCGCGAAAGCGUGGGGAGCGAACAGGAUUAGAUACCCCUGUAGUC